CCGUAGAAACUUGGAAGGAGUCUGGUUACUAUAGAAAUCUCGUUGUCGAGGAAGCUCGGAUGCUAACGAAGCCCGAAAGAAGUUCGGAGUAUGGUCGUCCGUGGCCGGAAGAAGUCCAGGAGAAACUCGAGGAAUGGUUGGCUGCUGUAGGAGAUCGACUGUCAGUGAGGCCCAGAGGGCCUUUGGGGCGGCCCGAUGGG
rnacentral:lncRNA from 1 species